CCAAGGCUCUCAAUUGAGUCGCCUUGAAUGGCCAAUUCCGCGUGACACGCCCUCGCGCCGUACCAUGCGCCGGGGCGUGUUUGCGCGCGGCCGCACUCGCACGCUUCAGGACGGAGCUUGAUAUGCAUUGCAUAUAUUCGCUCAGUGAAAUGUACUGACUCAUCGAGAGCGCUCAUGGAAACCGCGAGCGCAUUCCCCUGAAACUGGCUCAUUUUCCGCGUGUGCGAGUGCGCGUUCGGCUUUCAUGCAAAAUUUCAUGCGCUCAGGAAGGUCUUGUGUCUCUCAGGCCAUACCUGGCAUACCGCAAGCCUCACCCCGGCUUCUCAGGGAAGCCCACCCGUGCUGUGUCUGAAGGAGGCUGAAGCCUGAAGGUUCCCCUUCCAUUUGCCUUUCGGUGCCAUCAGCCGUAGUUCGCUCCUGCUGGUUCUUGUGUUGUUUUUGCUUUCAAGCUGCCAUACACCCCCACCCGAAGGCACAAGGCAAGAGAGAGUCUCUUCUUUACAAAAAACCUGGGAUGCCAGGUGCCCUCCACCUUGCCCACAUUCUACACAUUCCUUAGCCUUCUUCAACUCCGCCUCCGCCUUGCCUUGCCCAGCGCAGACACGCAUUGUACUUCGCAUUAUUGGCGGCCUGCUGCAUGCUGUAUGCCAGUGCGUUGGAGCGUCCGGCGGUGCUAUUCCGGCCGUUGUCCUCGCGGGCACAGGGCUUGCAUCUUCCAGGGGUAGGCCGCCGCCGCUGGCGAGAAGGGCCCUAACCACGUUCUCGCCCACGGCAUUCAGGGGCCCCCAAGUGCUUACUUUUUAGCGUUUGGGGGGGCUCCGCCCUCCCACCCCACCCCCCCGGGAAAGGGGUAGUUUGCGAGAUUCGGGGCCGUAUGCAGCCCCACGCGGCGAGAAUGCAUCCCGGGAAAUGCCCAAUCUUUCUCGCCUGAGGGCCUACAAUGGGGGUGGUUUCUUGCCGCUCACCGAAGAUGCAAGCCCUGGUCCACGCUUGGGGCCGUAGGGGUUUCGCGAGUGCGGGGUUCAGGCUCGGGGUUUGAGUGGGUGCGCGGGUUUCAGUGUUAGGGGUAUCUCGAGUGCAGGUGGAGUUGGGUUCAGGGCCUGGCAGGUGCCGGGACAGGGUUCAGGUUCAGGUUCAGGUUCAGUAGGGCUUGGCAGGUGCCGGCCGGCCGUCCUGUGUAAGGCCC
rnacentral:lncRNA from 1 species